CUCAGGUUAUGUGUUUAUGGUCGAAUUGUCGGUGCGGAACGCCAUAAAUAAACACCAAAACAAAAUCCACCUAAAAGCUCCACCUCCUAAACCCAAAGACACCAACCCAACCCCAAAGUUGCCACUAGAUCGAUGUUAACUCCCAAUCUCGAAUCAAAAGUGACCGGCCCAUCAGAAUCCAAAAAACAGCUCCUUCCGACUAAAAGUUGAUGAGACAACGGUAGAAUGAGAACCUAGGCCGACAAGUCUCAGCUCGAAGACACCCUACAAUUCAGACGACGACAAAGCCAACACACGCGGCAGCAACCGGUAGAACAGUCUCAGCUCGCAAACCACCUCAAAAAGUGAACACCGACAUGGGAUACUAUUAUCAUAUGUAUUGUCACUGGUUGAGGAAACAAUUUGCCACGAUGGACAUCCUUUUUGGCUUAAAAAAAAAUUACACCGACGGUGCACAACAAUUGUUGAGGGUUUAAGCUUGGUCCCCCCUCUUCUCGGCGCUGGAUCUGCCAUGAAAGCCAUUUUUCGCCGCCGGUGAUAGACUAGCCACCAGACCUGACGGUAAAAUUGAUACUACUUAAAUUUUAAUUAUGGAUCUAAUUAAAAGGAACAACUUGAGGAAGCAUCAAUGCAAGCUACUAGACUUCAAUUUUAACAAAGGUAAUAUUUGUUACUACUUUAAAAUUUUAAUUAAAAGGAACCGUUUUAGGAAGCAUCAAUGCAAGCUAGUGGACUUCAAUUUUAAGAAAGGUACAUGGUUUUUUGUUUCAAUUUUCUAUUACUUUGAUCUUAAUGAUGCUGUAUUGUAUUGAUUGUAUUGUUAAUGUUUAGUUUGCUUGCUAUUGUGCACUAUCAUUACUUGAAUGAAGGAUUUGUCAUGAUUUCAAUCUUCCUUUGGGAAAGAAAAAACAACUCCUAUGAUGAGAUAUAUUUGUCGUGUAAAUGUUCUUUGCUCUUUUUCAUGAAACAAACACACAAUUCAAUGUAAUAAAAUUCUAAAGUUGAUGCAGCCAAACAAGGGUAUGAACAGAAGCAACCUAUAUGACAAGAAGCCAAAUUUACAAAGACAAAACUGUGUUCAUACUUAAAAAAAAAUGCCACUGAUGAAUAAUAUAGAUAAUUCAUAAUUAUUAGAUUUAGCAAAUAAGCAAGAGUCUCAAACAAAGUAUAAUUUAACAACCUAAGAAGUUUGUUUUUGAAACAACGACAUAAAUCUCCACGGAAAGAGAAAAACACAUAGAAACUGUUCAGCCACUACUCUACAUAGUACCAAAGAUCCCUUCCAAACACAAAUUCACCAUUUAUACUAAGGACCCCUUCCAUUUCUUUUACAUGUCUUCCUGACGCGGCUCCAAAUUCAAGUCCGGAAGCAUUGGGACUCUCUUUGGUGAUUCCUGGCCAAUUUGAAUCUCACUUUGAGCACCACUCUCCCCUGAACAUUUUCCUCAACUGUUGUUGAGUUUCCACUGGAUAUGUUACUUGUUUUUGUUCUUGCUGCAUUUACAAUUGUAUCAGGUUCCACCAUUUCAGUCUUCGGUAGAUCUGUAUUAGGUUCCACCAUUUCAGUCUUCAUCAUAUUUGUAUUAGGUUCCACCAUUUCAUUCUUCAUUGCUCUUUGAGCUACCGAAGUUGUGUUGUCAGCCGUCUUCAUUGCUUCUAAAGCUAAUACAACAAUUUUGUUGUCAAUAGUUGAAUCUGCUUUUGAGUUAUGCAAAUAUGUGUUGAGUCUACCAAUUUAUUAUCAUUUGCUCUUUCAUUGUAAAAACUCACGUGCAAGUCAAUUUCAGAACCACUUAAAUCUUCAUAGCAUGUUCUUUGGCUGUUGUCCCUAAGAUUAUAGGCAAUCUUCUUUGGUGUUGUCCCUGAAAGUUUGGAUCAUA